CAGGCUUAACACAUGCAAGUCGAGGGGCAGCAUGGUCUUAGCUUGCUAAGGCCGAUGGCGACCGGCGCACGGGUGAGUAACACGUAUCCAACCUGCCGUCUACUCUUGGACAGCCUUCUGAAAGGAAGAUUAAUACAAGAUGGCAUCAUGAGUCCGCAUGUUCACAUGAUUAAAGGUAUUCCGGUAGACGAUGGGGAUGCGUUCCAUUAGAUAGUAGGCGGGGUAACGGCCCACCUAGUCUUCGAUGGAUAGGGGUUCUGAGAGGAAGGUCUCCCACAUUGGAACUGAGACACGGUCCAAACUCCUACGGGAGGCAGCAGUGAGGAAUAUUGGUCAAUGGGCGAGAGCCUGAACCAGCCAAGUAGCGUGAAGGAUGACUGCCCUAUGGGUUGUAAACUUCUUUUAUAAAGGAAUAAAGUCGGGUAUGGAUACCCGUUUGCAUGUACUUUAUGAAUAAGGAUCGGCUAACUCCGUGCCAGCAGCCGCGGUAAUACGGAGGAUCCGAGCGUUAUCCGGAUUUAUUGGGUUUAAAGGGAGCGUAGAUGGAUGUUUAAGUCAGUUGUGAAAGUUUGCGGCUCAACCGUAAAAUUGCAGUUGAUACUGGAUAUCUUGAGUGCAGUUGAGGCAGGCGGAAUUCGUGGUGUAGCGGUGAAAUGCUUAGAUAUCACGAAGAACUCCGAUUGCGAAGGCAGCCUGCUAAGCUGCAACUGACAUUGAGGCUCGAAAGUGUGGGUAUCAAACAGGAUUAGAUACCCUGGUAGUCCACACGGUAAACGAUGAAUACUCGCUGUUUGCGAUAUACUGCAAGCGGCCAAGCGAAAGCGUUAAGUAUUCCACCUGGGGAGUACGCCGGCAACGGUGAAACUCAAAGGAAUUGACGGGGGCCCGCACAAGCGGAGGAACAUGUGGUUUAAUUCGAUGAUACGCGAGGAACCUUACCCGGGCUUAAAUUGCAGAUGAAUUACGGUGAAAGCCGUAAGCCGCAAGGCAUCUGUGAAGGUGCUGCAUGGUUGUCGUCAGCUCGUGCCGUGAGGUGUCGGCUUAAGUGCCAUAACGAGCGCAACCCUUGUUGUCAGUUACUAACAGGUUCCGCUGAGGACUCUGACAAGACUGCCAUCGUAAGAUGUGAGGAAGGUGGGGAUGACGUCAAAUCAGCACGGCCCUUACGUCCGGGGCUACACACGUGUUACAAUGGGGGGUACAGAGGGCCGCUACCACGCGAGUGGAUGCCAAUCCCCAAAACCUCUCUCAGUUCGGACUGGAGUCUGCAACCCGACUCCACGAAGCUGGAUUCGCUAGUAAUCGCGCAUCAGCCACGGCGCGGUGAAUACGUUCCCGGGCCUUGUACACACCGCCCGUCAAGCCAUGGGAGCCGGGGGUACCUGAAGUGCGUAACCGCGAGGAGCGCCCUAGGGUAAAACUGGUGACUGGG
rnacentral:rRNA from 1 species